UGUAGAUAUAUAUUUGAGACAGUCUGUUUUGUGCUCAAUAAUAUUUCGAACAAGUUAGUUAGUACAACAUCAUAUGAGAUAUGUUAGGGCGUAGGCCAAACCUCACUUACCUUAAGGUCUGGGGGUGUCUGACUUAUGUCAAACAAUUAUAAACCGACAAGCUCAGACCUAGAUCCAAUAAGCAUAAUUUUGUAGGGUACCCUAAGAAAAUGAGGGGAUAUUACUUUUGUAGGAACCAGAUCUAGGGUUUCAGGGUUAGAUCUUGAAACUUUUUCAAGAUCAUACAGCGGAAGACUAAAAUAAAUUAAAAUUUAUUUUCUAAAAUCAAAAAAUCCCUAGAUCUAAGAUCCUAUUAUAUGACUAUUACAUAGCAUUAAAUCAAAAAUUAAAAUAUAUAAAUAUAGCAUGAACUACAUGUUGAUCAUAUCAACAUGUUUCUAUACUACAUCUAAUGUAUGUAUUAAACAAUAGAUCAGAUUUGUUACCUUGCAAGUUAGACGUUCUAACCUUGUUGAUCUGGGCUUGAGGAUGAUGUUGCAAGCCGCACAUGUGUUCGGCCUCUAGGAGUCGUCCACACGAGCCCACGAAUCUCGAUCAGAAGUCCUGCUUCAGGAAAUCAGCACAGUAUGCUAGUACUGUGCUGAUCCUUCUUUGAUGGUUGAUCAGGUGCCUCCUUCUUCUUGAUUUAGACUCUUCCAAAGAUGGAAAGUAGAAGGAGGAGUUUCAGAUCUGAGACGCUCUCAGAAAACUCAAGAUGGAGGGAGGAAAGAUAUGAAAACAAAAACCCUAGAAGAAGACCCUCUUCUUCUUCACGUUUUUCUCUCUAGACACCCAAACUUGCAUCUUUUAUAUCUCCAUGACCCAAAAUUAUUUCUCUCUUAUUUUUGGAUGGCA
rnacentral:lncRNA from 1 species